rnacentral:rRNA from 1 species
UACGGAGGGUGCAAGCGUUAUCCGGAUUCACUGGGUUUAAAGGGUGCGUAGGCGGAUAGGUAAGUCCGUGGUGAAAUCCUGCAGCUUAACUGCAGAACUGCCAUGGAUACUAUUUAUCUUGAAUGUCGUGGAGGUUAGCAGAAUAUGUCAUGUAGCGGUGAAAUGCUUAGAUAUGACAUAGAAUACCCAUUGCGAAGGCAGCUAACUACGCGAAAAAUUGACGCUGAUGCACGAAAGCGUGGGGGAUCAAACAGG